rnacentral:rRNA from 1 species
UACGUAGGGGGCAAGCGUUGUCCGGAAUUAUUGGGCGUAAAGAGCGCGUAGGCGGUCCGGUAAGUCGGUUGUGAAAGUCGGGGGCUCAACCCUCGAAUGCCGGCGGAUACUGUCGGGCUAGAGUCCGGAAGAGGCGAGUGGAAUUCCUGGUGUAGCGGUGAAAUGCGCAGAUAUCAGGAGGAACACCUACGGCGAAGGCAGCUCGCUGGGACGGUACUGACGCUGAGACGCGAAAGCGUGGGGAGCAAACAGG